UGUCAGAUGAGUAGAUUGCAAACAUUUUCUCCCAUUUUGUAGGCUGCCUGUUUGAGAUGGAGUCUCGCUCUGUGGGCCAGGCUGGAGUACAGUGUUGUGAUCUUGGCUCACUGCAAGCCCCGGCUCCUGGGUUCAAGUGAUUCUCCUGCCUCAGCCUCCUGGGUAGCUGGGACUACAGGCGCUUGCCACCAUGCCCGGCUAAUUUUUUAUAUUUUUAGUAGAGACAGAGUUUCACUGUGUUAGUCAGGAUGGUCUCAAUCUCCUGACCUCGUGAUCCACCCGCCUCAGCCUCCCAAAGUGCUGGAAUUACAGGCGUGAGCCACCGCACCUGGCCUCUUGUUAUCUUUGAACAUUUUCUUUUCUUUUGUUAUACAGAUGUUCUUCAUUUUUAUGCAGUCACUCUUUUUUUUUUUUCUUCUUUAGGUUUCAUGGCUUGUGUAAAAUGUUUUACUUCUGGGUUUCAUUUCUUAAAAAAGCCUUCCACAUCUGCCAGGUACUGACAAAACAAAUCCUCAACCUAACUAUAGCCACCAUGUGGAACCUGUGGCUAUGUUUAUGACCCGAGCAGCUUCUGCUCCAGGGUCUGAGUCCUGAAGACCUUCUUCUGAAGCCUCAGCACAGAGUGAAGAAAUUAUGAGUCAUACAGCUGAAGUUCGCACAGAAAAGAUUUCAACCUCAAAUAAAAUCUGGGACUGAAGUUUCACUCCCCUCAUGGAAAAAAUGUAUCAAGACUUGGUCAGAACUGAAGGCCAGAACACUUUAAAAAGUGAAGGGGUACAAGCUCAGGAAUGUUAGGUGUUAAGAUCCCUUACCAUACUUUACCAUAUAUGGUCUUGUUUAAAGUUCUUCCAAUCAAAACCUACCCGCCAGCACUUCUGCAUACCAGCCUGCUCUCUCUAACCCAGAAAACUUGCCCCAGACUCCAGAAUGGGGAGAUGGAUUUGAGCUUUGUCUCCUGUCUCUUCGCCAGCCAACCCCACAAUAAAACUUUUUUUCUU